rnacentral:rRNA from 1 species
AGUGAACGCUGGCGGUAGGCCUAACACAUGCAAGUCGAACGGCAGCACAGGAGAGCUUGCUCUCUGGGUGGCGAGUGGCGGACGGGUGAGGAAUACAUCGGAAUCUACUCUGUCGUGGGGGAUAACGUAGGGAAACUUACGCUAAUACCGCAUACGACCUACGGGUGAAAGCAGGGGAUCUUCGGACCUUGUGCGAUUGAAUGAGCCGAUGUCGGAUUAGCUAGUUGGCGGGGUAAAGGCCCACCAAGGCGACGAUCCGUAGCUGGUCUGAGAGGAUGAUCAGCCGCACUGGAAAUGAGACACGGUCCAGACUCCUACGGGAGGCAGCAGUGGGGAAUAUUGGACAAUGGGCGCAAGCCUGAUCCAGCCAUACCGCGUGGGUGAAGAAGGCCUUCGGGUUGUAAAGCCCUUUUGUUGGGAAAGAAAUCCAGCUGGCUAAUACCCGGUUGGGAUGACGGUACCCAAAGAAUAAGCACCGGCUAACUUCGUGCCAGCCGCCGCGGUAA